CGGGGUAUAGCGCAGUUGGUAGCGCGUCUGCUUUGGGAGCAGAAGGUCAUGAGUUCAAGUCUCAUUACCCCGACCA
rnacentral:tRNA from 1 species